rnacentral:lncRNA from 1 species
CGGACAUUGAGUCAUGUGAUGAAUGAGUUUUCUGUGUCCCUUCAGGCUGUGGCUGAUCAGCUGGAACCUUAUAUGGAAUAUUUCUUUCUGCCCAUUGCUCUAGAUCCAUCCUGAUCUCCCUAGCUACCACACUGGCUGGUCGUGGAGGAGACCCCGACUCAUCAAGCUCUGGCUCCUGCUCCUGGCCUGCAAGCCAUCCUCAUCAGCAUAAUCAUCUAGUGUCGGAUCAGUGUACUUCAGUUGUACUUUCUUCUGAAUGCAUUUUAGUCUCAACCUCAGAUUAUAGUGAACAUAUACAAGAUCAUUGAGGCAUUUUUAUGUCAGACGAUUUCUCUGUUUGUUGUAAAUAAGGGCAAAAAUUGAUCAAUUACACUCACAGCCACUAGUAGAGACCGUCUGGGAAAGAAUGCAGACAGCCACACCUCUCAAAUAUUUUACGGACAUUCCAAAAUGAAUCCACCAUUCAGCUGCAAAAGCAAAAUUACAUAUCAAAUUUUAUGAUAUUAUUGAGCAAAAUUACAUAUCAAUCUAUGCUGCUCAUUAUUGAUAUGUAAUUUACCUGAAUUUAUCUGCUUUUUGCUUACGACAGUUGAUCGGACACCAUCUUAUAUAUCACAUUACGAAGAGCAGCAAGAAGUUCGUUAUUUAUAUCUAUCCCAGGAAUGGUAUACUGGAAUCUUGUAUUCAAAUAAUAAGCUGCAGAUAAAUUUAUAAUUGAUUAAGUAUACUUUUACAAGUAUAAGAAAAAAAUAUUUUAAAAUAUUCUUGAAUCCGUGCUUAUCGGUUAGAUGCAAAUCUCUAUCCAUCUAAUAGUCCCAACGGCGCUCAAUAAUGUUAAUGAAUUUUUCAGCAUGCUUCGAAUCAUUCUUAUUGAUCUGUUUCUUUGCCCUCUCCAUCAUGUAAUAUAAGAAGCCCAUUUGGGGGUAUCUUUCACUAUCCACAGUGCGAAGCACAUCAUAUAAUGGCUUAAUAGUCUUCACUAUCUUCUCAGCCC